rnacentral:rRNA from 1 species
GAACGCUGGCGGCGUGCUUAACACAUGCAAGUCGAACGCGAAAGGGACUUCGGUCCUGAGUAAAGUGGCGCACGGGUGAGUAACGCGUAGAUAACCUGUCUUUAUGUCUGGAAUAAUACGCCGAAAGGGGUACUAAUACCGGAUAUUUUUGCAUUGCAUAAGCAGUGUAAGCAAAGGUGGCCUCUGACAUAAGCUACUGCAUAAAGAGGGGUCUGCGUACCAUUAGCUAGUAGGUGGGGUAAAGGCCUACCUAGGCUACGAUGGUUAGCGGGUCUGAGAGGAUGAUCCGCCACACUGGCACUGGAACACGGGCCAGACCCCUACGGGAGGCAGCAGUGAGGAAUAUUGCGCAAUGGGGGCAACCCUGACGCAGCGACGCCGCGUGAGUGAAGGAAGGCCUUCGGGUCGUAAAGCUCUGUCAAAGGGAAAGAAGCGCAUGGUGGUUAAUACCUGCCAUGUUUGACGGUACCCUUAAAGGAAGCACCGGCUAACUCCGUGCCAGCAGCAGC